GCUUUGUCUGCUGUGAGUUAUCACCUUGCAUUUUCACACCCUCCACUUAGCAGGUGCCUGAGCAGGUACUUAACCCUCUUAGCCCGUGUCCCUCCAAGCCAUCGCUCUCCGUUGCAGCAGCUCUACCGGGAGGACAGCGGCGCAGCGCUUCGUGGCGAGUUAUGCGCUGAAACGUCCGUUUGCUGCGUUUUUUUUUUUGCUGGAAACGUGCCGUUUUCUCGCGAGCCCGCGGAGGGCUUGCGCGGUUGUCCCGCUCGCGCGGAGCUCCGAGCUCGCCGGUCCGCGCUCUGCAGCCGCUGCGCUACGUCGCUGGGACCUGAUGCGGCUGCUACCGCUGGAGCCAAAGGGCUGUGCAGAUUUCCUCCGCGAGACCGAAAGCUGAAUCUCUCGGGCACCGGUUUUGAUCGAUGGUGCCUGAAGGCUUCAAAGCUCUGCUUUUCUCUCUUGCCCUUAGCUGGUGGCUGUUUCCCCCUUGUCUGUCUACCUGGAAAACGCGGCUGCCUGACCCCCCCCCAGCGCCUCUCCGAAGCCUCUCCGUGCAUAGAGGUGUGGGGGGUCUCAGCAGCCAAACAGCAGCUCGUUCGUUCUUGUUACGCCGACGUGAAGUCUUGCCGAAGGGGCUCGGGGCCCUGGGAGCCUGUGGGAGGGAUCGCGCUCGCUCUGUACCGCCUCGCGAUUUGUGGGAGUGCAACGGAAAAAAUAACCCGAUCCUGGGAGAGACGAUGCAUUUCACAUGAACUGAGCUUGAAUUUCCUCGGAGCGAGUCGUCUGAAGCCCUUGGAGACGCGAUGUGUAGCAGCCCGAGCCCAGGCCGGGUCCGCUGGGAAGUUAUUACACCAGGAAAAUCUCCAGCUGCAGGCUGGCAGCUGGCUGGUAUGGGGAAGACAAAUGCACCGUCUACCUCGAGCCUAUGCAGAUGCAUCUCCUCGAAACGAAUGCCUGCUUGCUCUCUCUUCCUUCUCUUCGCCCUGGGAGAGUUCAGCGCAGCAGACACCCGCUGCGGGCAUGCCCGGGGCGUCCAUCCACGAUGCCUUUAAAGCCAGGGAUGCAGCAGCCUUCCGGAGAACAGUGUUUGCUUUCACUUAA
rnacentral:lncRNA from 1 species